rnacentral:lncRNA from 1 species
ACUCACGUGCCUGUCCAUCCCUCUACAAGGCUUCCCUGGCAGCUUGUUUUUCCGUUUAAAAUUUAACAAUGACCAAAUCCCAAAAAAGCUACCAGGCUAAGAAAUGAAACAUCUUUUUUUCUUUUAAGUCCGGAGAAGUGCUGCUGAGCACAGCUGGCUCACUGCUGUUUCUGCGGCCCCCAUCUCUGAUCCUUUCUAGUCUCCUACCCACCCCCACCCCACCAUAGGCAGGCAGAGCCGGAUUUCUGCCCUUCAAACCCCGAGUGUGAGGAAGCCUCACCUGAAGUCCUCGCAUCACCCUCCACCCUCACGCCCUUGGGUUUUAAAAAGCCACUGCGUUCGUGGGUCACUGCAGGGCGCCUCCGCAAUGUCUUUAGCAGAUACAAGAGCAUCCCUCCCACGGGAUGUGCAGUGUAGUCAAGCUGAGUAAACUGGGAUUUUUGGCUGCCUUUUCUGCUAGGGUGGGUGGGGAAAGGUAUGUCCCCCAAGCGUUCA